CAAUAGCAUAUAUUAAAGUUGUUGUGGUUAAAAAGCUCAUAGUUGGAUUACAGUUGUGGACUGAUGGUAUAUACACCUAUCGGUGCUUACUAUCACGCUCCUAAACGCGCUCGCUUUGUCGAGCCUCGCUAGCUCGCACGGGGUGCUCUUGAUCGAGUGUCCCGAGUGGCUGGUAUGUUUACUUUGAAAAAAUUAGAGUGCUCAGAGCAGGCUCCUAUUAUGGCCUGAAUGCUUAUGCAUGGAAUAAUGAAAUAAGACCUCGAUUCCAUUUUGUCUGGUUUUUAUGGAAUUGGAGGUAAUGACUAAUAGAGACAAACGGGGGCAUUUGUAUUGCGACGCUAGAGGUGAAAUUCUUGGACCGUCGCAAGACAAACAACUGCGAAAGCAUUUGCCAAGGAUGUUUUCAUUAAUCAAGAACGAAAGUUAGAGGUUCGAAGGCGAUCAGAUACCGCCCUAGUUCUAACCAUAAACGAUGCUGACCAGCAAUCCGCCGGCGUUAUUCCCAUGACCCGGCGGGCAGCUUCCGGGAAACCAAAGUCUUUGAGUUCCAGGGGAAGUAUGGUUGCAAAGCUGAAACUUAAAGGAAUUGACGGAAGGGCACCACCAGGAGUGGAGCCUGUGGCUUAAUUUGACUCAACACGGGAAACCUCACCAGGCCCAGACACUGGAAGGAUUGACAGAUUGAGAGCUCUUUCUCGAUUCAGUGGGUGGUGGUGCAUGGCCGUUCUUAGUUGGU
rnacentral:rRNA from 1 species